UACGUAGGGUGCAAGCGUUAAUCGGAAUUACUGGGCGUAAAGCGUGCGCAGGCGGUUUUGUAAGCCAGAUGUGAAAUCCCCGGGCUCAACCUGGGAAUGGCAUUUGGGACUGCAAGGCUCGAGUUUGGCAGAGGAGACUGGAAUUCCUGGUGUAGGCAGUGAAAUGCGUAGAUAUCAGGAGGAAUACCGAUGGCGAAGGCAGGUCUCUGGGCUGAAACUGACGCUCAUGCACGAAAGCGUGGGGAGCAAACAGG
rnacentral:rRNA from 1 species